GCGUGUGUUGGGAGACGAUGGCUAUUCCCAGGCCGCCUGCGACGGCCUGCUUGACCGCCUCGUUGCUGCCGAGGGUCAUGCG
rnacentral:tRNA from 1 species